GACGAACGCUGGCGGCGUGCUUAACACAUGCAAGUCGAACGGAAAUGCCCUGCUUUUGUGUGGUUCUCGAGUGGCGAACGGGUUAGUAACACGUAAGUAACCUGCCCUUGACUUUGGGAUAACUUCAGGAAACUGGGGCUACUACCAGAUAGGAGCUCCUGCUGCAUGGUGGUGGUUGGAACGUUUCGGCUGUGUGGGAUGGACUCGCGGGUUAUCAGCUUGUUGGUGGGGUAGUGGCUUACCAAGGCUUUGACGGGUAGCCGGCCUGAGAGGGUGAACGGCGACAUUGGGACUGAGAGAGGGAGCAGACUCGAAUGGGAGGCAGCAGGGGGGAAUAUGGCACAAUGGGCGGGAGUGUGAGGCAGAAACGUCGGGUGCGGGAUGACGGGCUGCGGGUUGUGAACCGGUGUGGGCUGAGACGAAGAGGGAGUGACGGUAAUGAGUAAAGAAGCAACGGCUAACUACGUG
rnacentral:rRNA from 1 species